GCAGAGAUGCAUCAGGUGCCCUUCGGGGAAAGUUGAGACAGGUGGUGCAUGGUUGUCGUCAGCUCGUGUCGUGAGAUGUUGGGUUAAGUCCCGCAACGAGCGCAACCCUUGACUUUAGUUGCCAGCAGGUAAGGCUGGGCACUCUAGAGUGACUGCCGGUGACAAACCGGAGGAAGGUGGGGAUGACGUCAAAUCAUCAUGCCCCUUAUGACCUGGGCUACACACGUACUACAAUGGCCGGUACAACGGGAAGCGAAGCCGCGAGGUGGAGCCAAUCCCAGCAAAGCCGGUCUCAGUUCGGAUUGCAGGCUGCAACUCGCCUGCAUGAAGUCGGAAUUGCUAGUAAUCGCGGAUCAGCAUGCCGCGGUGAAUACGUUCCCGGGUCUUGUACACACCGCCCGUCACACCACGAGAGUUUACAACACCCGAAGUCGGUGGGGUAACCCGCAAGGGAGCCAGCCGCCGAAGGUGGGGUAGAUGAUUGGGGUGAAGUCGUAACAAGGUAGCCGUAUCGGAAGGUGCGGCUGGAUCACCUCCUUUCUAUGGAGA
rnacentral:rRNA from 1 species